CCAGGCAGUGGCUUGAGCUCCCUGUAAGCAGGGGUGGCAGCCUCUUGGCCGCUGCUUGGCGUAUGCCCAGCUUCAUUUGCCCAGAGGGCCUGGCUCCCCGCACCGCAUGGGACUGCGCCGGACGUCGAGAUGAAGCCACGGGACGACGAGGCAGGAGCGGCAGCAGCGUCGAGCUCAAGAGUGGAACGGCGAGGCAAGAGCGAGCUGGGAGCUGAAGAAGGGGGCAGGAGAGGCCCUCUGGGCAAAGGGACUUCCUGGCACGGCCAGGGCACCUUCCGGGUGCCGUGGCUGGCUUUGCGUUGGGCGACCUCCCUGGAAGCAGGGCUGGGUCUUUGCUGACGUUGGCCUUUUGCCGUUGCGCUCCUUAGGCUGCCCGGAGAGAGGGGCAACCCUGUAAGGAGGGUGAGAGCCCCUGUCUCUGCACCUGACGGGGGAAACAGAGCUCUCCCGAUCCCCAGCCCAGCCACCUGCCCUGUCAGUAGGGCCGGGCCUUUUGCCCGGCCCCGACAGCUUUCUGCCAGCUGCUGGCCCCUGGCCAGCGUGACCCCCUGUAUGCGGGGUGCGUCACCGCCCUCGUCUCCGUGCCCUCCCUGAGCGCCUCAGCGCCUCGAGGCCCCUGUGCCCUGCCCACAGGGCUGCAGGGGCAGGUCGGAUGCUUUCCUCUCCCACUCGUGGGUGGGGAUGGCUCCCUAGAGCCGGUUGCCCGCACAGAACUUGCUCCCUCUUCUGGGACGGUCUUGCCCUCCCUCCCUCCCUCGCCGGCCUUCCCCUCAGCUGGUGUGAGUGAGCAAGUGCGUUUGUCCCCCUUUAGCCCCCCUUUAGCAAUAGAGCAGGGUAACCUAGACUUCCCAGGAGGGAAAGAGGAGCUCUGUGCGGUCACAGGGGAGGUCCCUAAACAGGCACGGGUGAAGAACGCGUCCGGCCUUGCCCCUGCCGCCUGAGGAGGGCACGGAGCAGCUUAGCGAUAGCGUGGGCACCGUGACCCGCCUGUAGCCUAUGGCUGGGUGUGUGCCUACGCUGGCGGUCCUGCUGGUGACAUGCCAGCGUGCCGGCCCUGUACUCGGGGCACGUGUCACGACCGUGUGGAGCCCUUUGUCCCCAGCGGCAGCCCCAGGUCCCUGUAAGCAGGGCUGGGGAGUCUGCUUUAGGCAGGUGGCAGGAACGAGCGCUCCCGGGCCCUGGCAAGGGCGCAGGUUGAAGAAGUGCCGCGCCACAGGGUGCGGUCCCGCCUUUGGCGCGGCUUCAGGCCGGUGCCUUGUUGAGGAGGCUCCCGAGGGGCUCCUGCAGACAGCUGUGUGGCCGGGCUGCUGCUGCUGCGGCUGGGCCCUGGCCGACCCCAAAGCGGGGCGCAGGCCAGGGCCUGUGCUCCGUGGUGCUUGUUGGGGGGUGCCGGGCUGCGGGGGACGGCCCCGUAAGUGGGGUUGUGUGCGUCCCCUGCCCUCGGCGGGCGGUUGGAGGGACCCCCUGUAACCAGGUGGGUAUCCCUGGCCCCGGCCUUUCAGAGGCGUGGGGUCAGGAGUCAUGGGGCCGGGCGUGUGCGCUCCCCGGGACUGGGGUCCCGGCCCCUCGGCUUUAGGCCGUGAGCCUGAACAUAGAAUCUCGUUCCUGUUGUCCCGGGGAAAGGCUGAGCUCUGUGGCUCCCUGGGUGUGGACCGGCCUGUAAGCAGGCUGUGGGUCUGGGAGCCUUUGUGCUCCCUUCAGCUGGCAGCCGGCGGAGAGAAGGAGCCUGCGUAGGCCUUGGGGGCCAGGGCCGCCCUGUAAGUCGGGGCCUGUGCUCUGGAUUUCCAGGCACUUUGCAGUCCAGGCAGCGGCUUGAGCUCCCUGUAAGCAGGGGUGGCAGCCUCUUGGCCGCUGCUUGGCGUAUGCCCAGCUUCAUUUGCCCAGAGGGCCUGGCUCCCCGCACCGCAUGGGACUGCGCCGGACGUCGAGAUGAAGCCACGGGACGACGAGGCAGGAGCGGCAGCAGCGUCGAGCUCAAGAGUGGAACGGCGAGGCAAGAGCGAGCUGGGAGCUGAAGAAGGGGGCAGGAGAGGCCCUCUGGGCAAAGGGACUUCCUGGCACGGCCAGGGCACCUUCCGGGUGCCGUGGCUGGCUUUGCGUUGGGCGACCUCCCUGGAAGCAGGGCUGGGUCUUUGCUGACGUUGGCCUUUUGCCGUUGCGCUCCUUAGGCUGCCCGGAGAGAGGGGCAACCCUGUAAGGAGGGUGAGAGCCCCUGUCUCUGCACCUGACGGGGGAAACAGAGCUCUCCCGAUCCCCAGCCCAGCCACCUGCCCUGUCAGUAGGGCCGGGCCUUUUGCCCGGCCCCGACAGCUUUCUGCCAGCUGCUGGCCCCUGGCCAGCGUGACCCCCUGUAUGCGGGGUGCGUCACCGCCCUCGUCUCCGUGCCCUCCCUGAGCGCCUCAGCGCCUCGAGGCCCCUGUGCCCUGCCCACAGGGCUGCAGGGGCAGGUCGGAUGCUUUCCUCUCCCACUCGUGGGUGGGGAUGGCUCCCUAGAGCCGGUUGCCCGCACAGAACUUGCUCCCUCUUCUGGGACGGUCUUGCCCUCCCUCCCUCCCUCGCCGGCCUUCCCCUCAGCUGGUGUGAGUGAGCAAGUGUGUUUGUCCCCCUUUAGCCCCCCUUUAGCAAUAGAGCAGGGUAACCUAGACUUCCCAGGAGGGAAAGAGGAGCUCUGUGCGGUCACAGGGGAGGUCCCUAAACAGGCACGGGUGAAGAACGCGUCCGGCCUUGCCCCUGCCGCCUGAGGAGGGCACGGAGCAGCUUAGCGAUAGCGUGGGCACCGUGACCCGCCUGUAGCCUAUGGCUGGGUGUGUGCCUACGCUGGCGGUCCUGCUGGUGACAUGCCAGCGUGCCGGCCCUGUACUCGGGGCACGUGUCACGACCGUGUGGAGCCCUUUGUCCCCAGCGGCAGCCCCAGGUCCCUGUAAGCAGGGCUGGGGAGUCUGCUUUAGGCAGGUGGCAGGAACGAGCGCUCCCGGGCCCUGGCAAGGGCGCAGGUUGAAGAAGUGCCGCGCCACAGGGUGCGGUCCCGCCUUUGGCGCGGCUUCAGGCCGGUGCCUUGUUGAGGAGGCUCCCGAGGGGCUCCUGCAGACGGCUGUGUGGCCGGGCUGCUGCUGCUGCGGCUGGGCCCUGGCCGACCCCAAAGCGGGGCGCAGGCCAGGGCCUGUGCUCCGUGGUGCUUGUUGGGGGGUGCCGGGCUGCGGGGGACGGCCCCGUAAGUGGGGUUGUGUGCGUCCCCUGCCCUCGGCGGGCGGUUGGAGGGACCCCCUGUAACCAGGUGGGUAUCCCUGGCCCCGGCCUUUCAGAGGCGUGGGGUCAGGAGUCAUGGGGCCGGGCGUGUGCGCUCCCCGGGGCUGGGGUCCCGGCCCCUCGGCUUUAGGCCGUGAGCCUGAACAUAGAGUCUCGUUCCUGUUGUCCCGGGGAAAGGCCGAGCUCUGUGGCUCCCUGGGUGUGGACCGGCCUGUAAGCAGGCUGUGGGUCUGGGAGCCUUUGUGCUCCCUUCAGCUGGCAGCCGGCGGAGAGAAGGAGCCUGCGUAGGCCUUGGGGGCCAGGGCCGCCCUGUAAGUCGGGGCCUGUGCUCUGGAUUCCCGGGCACUUUGCAGUCCAGGCAGCGGCUUGAGCUCCCUGUAAGCAGGGGUGGCAGCCUCUUGGCCGCUGCUUGGCGUAUGCCCAGCUUCAUUUGCCCAGAGGGCCUGGCUCCCCGCACCGCAUGGGACUGCGCCGGACGUCGAGAUGAAGCCACGGGACGACGAGGCAGGAGCGGCAGCAGCGUCGAGCUCAAGAGUGGAACGGCGAGGCAAGAGCGAGCUGGGAGCUGAAGAAGGGGGCAGGAGAGGCCCUCUGGGCAAAGGGACUUCCUGGCACGGCCAGGGCACCUUCCGGGUGCCGUGGCUGGCUUUGCGUUGGGCGACCUCCCUGGAAGCAGGGCUGGGUCUUUGCUGACGUUGGCCUUUUGCCGUUGCGCUCCUUAGGCUGCCCGGAGAGAGGGGCAACCCUGUAAGGAGGGUGAGAGCCCCUGUCUCUGCACCUGACGGGGGAAACAGAGCUCUCCCGAUCCCCAGCCCAGCCACCUGCCCUGUCAGUAGGGCCGGGCCUUUUGCCCGGCCCCGACAGCUUUCUGCCAGCUGCUGGCCCCUGGCCAGCGUGACCCCCUGUAUGCGGGGUGCGUCACCGCCCUCGUCUCCGUGCCCUCCCUGAGCGCCUCAGCGCCUCGAGGCCCCUGUGCCCUGCCCACAGGGCUGCAGGGGCAGGUCGGAUGCUUUCCUCUCCCACUCGUGGGUGGGGAUGGCUCCCUAGAGCUGGUUGCCCGCACAGAACUUGCUCCCUCUUCUGGGACGGUCUUGCCCUCCCUCCCUCCCUCGCCGGCCUUCCCCUCAGCUGGUGUGAGUGAGCAAGUGCGUUUGUCCCCCUUUAGCCCCCCUUUAGCAAUAGAGCAGGGUAACCUAGACUUCCCAGGAGGGAAAGAGGAGCUCUGUGCGGUCACAGGGGAGGUCCCUAAACAGGCACGGGUGAAGAACGCGUCCGGCCUUGCCCCUGCCGUCUGAGGAGGGCACGGAGCAGCUUAGCGAUAGCGUGGGCACCGUGACCCGCCUGUAGCCUAUGGCUGGGUGUGUGCCUACGCUGGCGGUCCUGCUGGUGACAUGCCAGCGUGCCGGCCCUGUACUCGGGGCACGUGCCACGACCGUGUGGAGCCCUUUGUCCCCAGCGGCAGCCCCAGGUCCCUGUAAGCAGGGCUGGGGAGUCUGCUUUAGGCAGGUGGCAGGAACGAGCGCUCCCGGGCCCUGGCAAGGGCGCAGGUUGAAGAAGUGCCGCGCCACAGGGUGCGGUCCCGCCUUUGGCGCGGCUUCAGGCCGGUGCCUUGUUGAGGAGGCUCCCGAGGGGCUCCUGCAGACGGCUGUGUGGCCGGGCUGCUGCUGCUGCGGCUGGGGCCUGGCCGACCCCAAAGCGGGGCGCAGGCCAGGGCCUGUGCUCCGUGGUGCUUGUUGGGGGGUGCCGGGCUGCGGGGGACGGCCCCGUAAGUGGGGUUGUGUGCGUCCCCUGCCCUCGGCGGGCGGUUGGAGGGACCCCCUGUAACCAGGUGGGUAUCCCUGGCCCCGGCCUUUCAGAGGCGUGGGGUCAGGAGUCAUGGGGCCGGGCGUGUGCGCCCCCCGGGGCUGGGGUCCCGGCCCCUCGGCUUUAGGCCGUGAGCCUGAACAUAGAGUCUCGUUCCUGUUGUCCCGGGGAAAGGCCGAGCUCUGUGGCUCCCUGGGUGUGGACCGGCCUGUAAGCAGGCUGUGGGUCUGGGAGCCUUUGUGCUCCCUUCAGCUGGCAGCCGGCGGAGAGAAGGAGCCUGCGUAGGCCUUGGGGGCCAGGGCCGCCCUGUAAGUCGGGGCCUGUGCUCUGGAUUUCCAGGCACUUUGCAGUCCAGGCAGUGGCUUGAGCUCCCUGUAAGCAGGGGUGGCAGCCUCUUGGCCGCUGCUUGGCGUAUGCCCAGCUUCAUUUGCCCAGAGGGCCUGGCUCCCCGCACCGCAUGGGACUGCGCCGGACGUCGAGAUGAAGCCACGGGACGACGAGGCAGGAGCGGCAGCAGCGUCGAGCUCAAGAGUGGAACGGCGAGGCAAGAGCGAGCUGGGAGCUGAAGAAGGGGGCAGGAGAGGCCCUCUGGGCAAAGAGCCUUCCUGGCACGGCCAGGGCACCUUCCGGGUGCCGUGGCUGGCUUUGCGUUGGGCGACCUCCCUGGAAGCAGGGCUGGGUCUUUGCUGACGUUGGCCUUUUGCCGUUGCGCUCCUUAGGCUGCCCGGAGAGAGGGGCAACCCUGUAAGGAGGGUGAGAGCCCCUGUCUCUGCACCUGAGGGGGGAAACAGAGCUCUCCCGAUCCCCAGCCCAGCCACCUGCCCUGUCAGUAGGGCCGGGCCUUUGCCCGGCCCCGACAGCUUUCUGCCAGCUGCUGGCCCCUGGCCAGCGUGACCCCCUGUAUGCGGGGUGCGUCACCGCCCUCGUCUCCGUGCCCUCCCUGAGCGCCUCAGCGCCUCGAGGCCCCUGUGCCCUGCCCACAGGGCUGCAGGGGCAGGUCGGAUGCUUUCCUCUCCCACUCGUGGGUGGGGAUGGCUCCCUAGAGCCGGUUGCCCGCACAGAACUUGCUCCCUCUUCUGGGACGGUCUUGCCCUCCCUCCCUCCCUCGCCGGCCUUCCCCUCAGCUGGUGUGAGUGAGCAAGUGCGUUUGUCCCCCUUUAGCCCCCCUUUAGCAAUAGAGCAGGGUAACCUAGACUUCCCAGGAGGGAAAGAGGAGCUCUGUGCGGUCACAGGGGAG